ACUUCUAAAAAUAUAUCUGAACCUAUCUAAGCAUAUCUUGCUUAUUAGUGUACCUUGUCCUUUUGAACUACUGGAAGGAGUUCACUCUCUGAAGGAGGAAUUGGCUGUUCUAAAAAGGACAGCUGGGAAACAAGACAUCCAGUGAGCUUAUGGCAAGCCGUGGAAUGCUAUAUUUCAAGAAUAUCUCUUUUAAUUUAUUUUUUUAUUCCAUGAUUUUAAAUACAAUGGUGAUGGGAAAAUGCUACAUUUCAUGAAUUUCUGCUUUAUUUUUAUUUUUUAUUUUUUGUUUUUCUGAGGCUUUAAAUACAGUGUUGACUGGGAAAGGGAAGUUGCGCUGAGAAGGAUUUUGCUCUUCAAACUGUACGUGCCAAGGUUUCUCAUAGGAAGAUACAAGCUGUCACGAUCCCUUGCCAAUCACAUGAGAACUGACCUAGGGAGAACAUCAACGGAAGGUGAGAAAUGAGCAUUCCUGCAUGAAUAGGAAGUGCAAGCAACUUGAACUCACAAGAAAGAAGUCAUAAAGUGUACUACUCUCUAUAAAAAGGGGAAGACUUGUGGAAAAUACACCAUUUUUGUGCCUGGCUCAGUGAAAGCUAGAAAGCAAAUCUCUUCACACUCCUUGAGAGAGAAGUCCCAGGUUGUGUCCAGACUUGAAAAUUAAGAGUUAGAAAGUUCCACAGCCUGUCUGAGCUUUACGCUGGGAGGAAAAUGAGCUACCUGAGCAGAGGAUGAAUGUUGUCUUGGGUCACCAUCAAGAUCGUGACCUGCCUAACUGAUGUGACUCAGGGGAAGAGGCUGCUGGCAUCUCUGGUGCUAUUCCCUUUUCCCAUCCUGAGUGUGCACGGAGCCAUUCCCAGCCAGUUGGAGCUCUUCCACAAGAUGGUGCCGAGCCCCGUCGCUCACAAGUGGUGCGUAAUUGAAAUACGGCACACAUCCUCCUGGGGAAGGAAGAGUAUUUUCUCUGCUGCAGCUAUCAUCCUAAAUAACAUCAGCCCACCAGUGGCAGAGGCUUUACAGUGCAAUGGAGAACUAUUUUGAAGGUUUGAGGAGAAGAAAUAGAAAAAAUGAAGACACGAUUUUUUUCCUCCUUUCAAAGCCUGUUUACAGAAACAUGUGUGCAUAUGAAUGUAUAUAUUCAAUUAUUUUGACUUUUGUUACCUGUGUGUUUCCUGCUCCUGGCUGAGGCCAAUCUCUCAGGGCGUCCUGCCUGCUGGGGCAGCAGGAAUCAACACAAAUUGCCCCAAAAUCACAGUCUCAAGCCAUUCCCUGCCUGCUUCUAGGCUGGGAAAGGUGCUGGUAAGUUCUCUGUGGUUUUUGAAUGCUUGCAAGCAGUGGGAUGGCUCCCUAUAUUGACACUGCUGCAGCUCUCACCCUGACACUUCCUUUCAUCAUUUUUUUCCUGAGAUAAUUUUGCAGUCCUUGUUCUUUUUCAUUGAUGGCAAGCUGUGUAUUUUGGGGUGGAAUCUGCAGUUGUGUGCAUGGUUUUGCUUACACCUAUGUGUCUCUGUGUUAUUAAUACAUGCACUUAUUCAUCCAGCAAUAAGCAUUGUUGUAUAUAAGUAUGUGUGUAUGUGCACAGUAUGCAUGUAUAUAUAUACAUAUGUACUUCCACAUCUAUGUAUCUAUUGCUGCAUGCCUGUAUAACAGUGCACACAGACAUUUAUGAGCAUUAUGAAUGGUUCGUGUAUUAAGCCUUUGAUUAGAAACCAAUACAAACUAUCACUUUUUAUUACUACUCCCCAACUGUAUGUACUUUGCAUGAUCUUUUACAAGCCCAUCCUGAAGGACUUUCUCUCCUUAUCUGUAUUUCAUGGCCUUCAUUUCAAUUUGUCUUAUCUUAAAAACAACAACAAAAAAGAAAAUAUGUUAUUUACCUCGGUCAAGAGGAAAACUGCCAGACAGAUUUUUAUUGUCUCCUGCUCAACCCUUUUGUACCUCUGCCCACAAUUUCUGGGUGAUUAUUUUUCAGCAGUUCUCAAGUUAACUUUCCAUGUUACAGAUUAGAGUUACUUCUUAGGGAAAAAAAAAGAAAAUAAAGAAAAAAAUGUACAUUUACAUGUAUAUAUUCAUACAUACGUAGCCCAGAUUUUCAGUCUACCACCUUUUCCAUCCCCUCGGGUGCGGACUUGUCUGUGAAUCAGCACAGCCACACUGUGCCCUCACCUUCACCCAGCAUUGCAGGAACCUUUGUGUGCACCCAUCAACCCAUCUAGAAGACAUAGGAUGCUGUUUGCCCUGUGCACGUAACCUCUACAUGCUGAUAGUUGUUCCCUAAAGCUCCCACCAGCCCCUUCAGAAGGAAAGGGCUAGGGAGAAAUGCCCACUGAGAGCUCCUGGCGCUGCCCCUACUGCAGAUAGAAUGUGACACAAGCACAAGGACACUGAGAUGAUGCUCCAGAGCAGCUGCUUAUUACUCUGCACAAGAAAAUCAAUUUUUACACCAUUUCUGAUGCCUGGGCAAGCUCAGGUGAAGCCACUUGCCCAAGCCAAAGAGCUCAAACCAAGCCAUGAAGUAGCCAAACGAGUGAAAUGACCGUAGCCCUUGGAGCACAGCCUGGAAUUGCAAUGGGCUCAGCUGAGAACAUGUCAUCAGGAUGCAGGAAGCCAGGAAGGGCUUGGCGGACAACAUGAGCUCUUUGGAGGAGAGCAAAGCAGGGUUUCAGUGGCCCAUUGUUGGUGGCAGUCUGGCUAGCUUUGCUGGAGCAGCCACUGUAGGGUGAAGCAAGAGGUUGCGGUUUGUUUUUAAUUACCAGACAUUUAAAGUGUUUUUCAGCAUGACUCACGUCCCGGGAAUAAUUGAAUUUGGAGAUUUUGUUUUCAGUGCAAUCGAGGAGUCCACACCGCAUCUGAGAAGUAGAAAAAACUGUUGCUUAAACUGUAUGUUAUUUGCCAGGUAUGUGUGGGCAGGGCAGCCAUCUCCCCCGGUACCUAACUCCAGGUCUGAGCUCCUCUCCCAAUUGGAGGCUGAGGGAGGGGAUCGGUGCAAGGCACCGUGCCUGGAGCCCCCUCUGUUCAAAGGCGCCCAAGGAGAUGGAGCUGGCCUGGGGAUGGCUGGAGGCCACACAGACGGGAAGGUAUGUAGCAAUCCAUUUAUCACUUUGCAAAUAUUAGUGCUGCUCGCAUUUGCUGCGGCAAUAUUUCUUCUUGGAAAUUGGUGAAGUGAGUAAUAACAAUGUUAUUUAUUCUAAGACCUUGGAGCUGAGAAGCAAUAACAGGGGGACUGUUCCCUUGAAAGCUUCAGAGGUGCUGGAAAUAAAAUGGGAGGGGGAGAAGGAAUCAACCAACAAAGGGCUGGGGAAGAGAAAGGCACAUCAGAAAGCCACAGAGAUCUGGGGUUUCAUUUCAUUGCCUAAGAAAACCAAAUGCAUUUUGUGAAAAUUUGUGCACAAACAGAGGGCAGUGGUGGGCAUUCUACAUGCCCUGUUGGCAUGGUCAUGGAGCUGCCGCAUUGCCUUCGCCUUGCUUUGCUUUUAUUCCUCAUUUCUCCCCCCCUUUUUUAAACUUUCCCCCUCUCUGCAUGGCUUAUCUGAAUAUAUAGGGCUGCCCCUUGCUCAGAUUUAUGGGUCAGGGCAGCACUGUGUGUAUUUACAGUCUCCCGACCUGAAGACCUACAGCUGAACAAGAGAAGGAGGAAACCAGGGCCCGUUCCAUAAACAGAGACAGAUACAGGGGGGAGGCAGGAGGAACUGCCAGCACUUAACAUUUUUAACUAUUUGGCCAAGCAAAGGAAUUAGUGAUUAGAUUAGAGCCCAGGAAAAAUGAGAAGAGGGGUGAAAGAUUUCGGGGGGAGAGAGCCAGGCCUGGCUGGGGUUUGAGGAGUGCAGAGUUGGGGGAGUGCAAAGGGUUUUCCACUAGAAGUCAGAGGGUUUACAGGCGGCUGUGCAGGGUGAAAGUGAGAUCCAAGUUCUUCAGUGGGAGCUUUGCUUCUUUGGGCAGAGCUGAGGAACUCCUCCAAAGUGCAGUUAUGCUCAGUGCAGAGGUGAAUUGCUCAGUCUGUGUUUAUUCAGGUACUAAUUGCCCCAGAUUAAGGAAAAGAAAAGCCUUGCUCGGCCAUAAUAAAUAUUUCUUACAUCUAUGGUUUGUGGGCAGAAGUUUAGUUCAGAUGAGACAUUUUUCAAAGGACCCUGCUUCUCUGACAUGAAAAGCAGCAAAAGUGGCAACAACCUGGAAAAUAAACAAAUGAAACGCAACAUACGUAGAGGUCACAACAUAGCACAAGUAUAUCAACAUGAUGAACAGCUUUGAUGAAAAUGGUAAACAAAACCACCCUCUCUUCCUGUGGCUUGUUUUACAUUGCAAUAAACCACCGACUCUAUAACCUAUCAGAACAUGCUGAGAUUUUAUGCAUCAUUUCCAACUACUAUUUGAACAUUUGGUUUAGAGUAGUCAUGAACUAUAAUUAAUGGGAUUUUUUUUUCUCCCUGAUAAAAAGCGUGCUUUAUUGGAGUUUAUUACCUGUUGGUCCAAAGCACUGUAGGUGAUAUGAAUUCAUUGUGUGGUUGAGGAUAGGGAGAGGGGAAGGGGCCUCAUGGCAACGAGUUCACAUCCACAGGAGUUUCACCCAGUCACUGCCACCCGCGAUACCCAUGCUAUGUGCACGUAGUGCUGCUCAUUCCAAAGCCCAAUUAAAAGCAGCAGAAAAGCAGCGGAUGCAAUAGGAACGUGACCACGCUGCUGUUGCCGUUGUCUGAUUUUGCAUUUCCAUCACUACUUUUUGAGCUGUACCAUGUGCCUGAGAAUAGCAGAGCUCAGAGCACGGGCAUCACACGUCGACAUCCCUGCUCAUGCAGAAUGAGACCCUGCAGAAACAAGGGGAUGCUGCCCGCUCCAGAUGCCAGCCCAGUGCAGCGCUGGUGCGAGUGAGCCAGUAGCGCCGAGACGCCAGGCUCAGCCCGCCGUGGGGAGAGGAGAAAAAAAAAUACAACAGGCACCACAAAGAACAUUGAGAUGAAUGGCUCUAUUUUAUGAGCCAUAAAAGUUUUAUUCAUCUUGACACCGAAACAGGUUUAGGCAGCGAGUUGACACGCCUUAAAUAAAUAAGUGGAAUUAAUUCCCCAGCUCUUGAAACAAUAGCAGCGUGCAUGUCACGCCGAGCGCUGCCCCAUUGUUUCCCGUGGCUGCGCGAUAUUGAUAUUAUUUGUGUUUUUCCGUGCGGCUUCCUCUGGGGCCUGGUUGAUCCACUUCAGAUUCUUCCCCUGUUUUAUUAGAGGUUGAAAAAGGUUCAAGACCUGGUUGUACCGCGGCUCCCACCGACAGCUCAGGAACCAGUUUGGCGUCUGGUUUGUCUGUUGUUUUACUGCUGACCUUCAGCUCAACUUUCCCCCCUGACCCCAGGAGGCAUCUAUCAUGACAAGAGGCUGUUUAACACAAAUGGUGCCCAUUUAUAGGGGAAGAAAGUCAGAAGAUUUCCUUUUUAUGAAGAAUUUGGUUUUUCACCCCUCUUUUCUCAGUCACCACAGGUGAAAUCCCUCCCAGCAGCUGGCUUAUGAAAUAAUGCGAGGGGAGGCCGUAAUGAGCUGAAAGCACCCUCAGCUGGAGAUAAAUAUAUGCAAAUGAGAUGCACAAACAAAGGAGCCUGGACAGAGAAAUAUCUGCAAUUCCAGCAAAAUGCUGCCUGCAGCUAGAAGAUGAACAGCUUUGAUAAAAUGCCUCCCGUGGCGAUUUUGGGGCCAGAGCGGAGAGGAAGCGGUUCGGAGUGCUGCCCUGACCCCUGGGAGCCGGCUGCUGCACCCGGGCGCCCCGGCGUGGGGCUUCAGGAGUUAAUGGAAGUUGGUAGGGCCGGGAGCCGCUCUUUUUGCAGCCCAGGUUUGCGGCGGCAUAAUUAUGUUCAACCGCUGUUGUUUGAAAAGGGCAAGCGGCAUCUUAGGCGCAGAACAAUGAAAUUACAGCUGAGAUUUAGGUUAGCAAAAGCCGUCUUCUGCAAGGCUUUUAUGAUUCAUUAUUUCCCAUUAAAUACAGUAUUAGAAGUGUACACCAGAUAGCUCAUGGUUGCUGCGCUCAGAGCACAUUAUCUAUAUUACACAGGUCUGGGGAGCAGAAUUAGAAAACUUUGGGGGAAUGAGCAAUAUGUGUUUGCUGAUAGAAGUACCAUAUGGCUCAUCUUCCUCAAUUGCUUUCAUUGCAACUCCGAUGCUGGAGAAAUUAAAGUUUUAUUUGAUGUGGCACAGCUUAAUGAACUGUCUUCUGUUAGGAAAAUUGAAUAUGUUUCCUGUUAUUUGAGCACAGAGCCCUCAUGGUUUUGGCUGAUGAGGGAUGCAUUAUGUAUUGUUUAUUUAGCAUUUUGAAAACAAAAGCAGAUAUUGGAGGUAAAAUUGAUUACCACAGGAUGCGUUAUAUCAUCCCAUUUUUCUUUCUCUCUUUCUUUAAUUUACAGCCCUGCCUAUUAUUUUUACGACGGCUUUUUUUAGUUUUCCCCCCCCCCUCCCCCUCUCCCCCUGCCCUGAAAAAAAGGGGUUUGGAGGCAGAGUGCAUCUCUCGGCUUUGUUUAAAACCAGCAUUACAAUUUUUAGGGCUUCGGUUCCCUACGUGCUCCCUGUGCAUCGACCCAGACAGGCUUUGUUAAUGCAGCCCCGGUGCUGCUCUUCUGCCUCAGCAGGGAUGCAGAGAGGGGAGCAGCCCCCAAUCCCCCACUUCCAGAGGCGCCAGGAAGGGUUAAUAACUGCAGGAUGGCGGUGGCCGAAGGGGAGGGGUGGAUGUAAGGGAGCAUGAGGUGGAGCGGGCAACAUUACCUGCUGCUUUUGCAUCAUUUGUGUGCAGCAGGAGAGAAGUUGGCGAUGGAAAGGUGUCUUGGAUAAAGGGAAAUACAUAUUUUGUGGUGUUGAUUUUUUUUUAUAAUGCAAGCACGCACUAAGGUGUGCGUUCCCUAGCAAUACCAUGGGAGUACUUGUUCUCUCAUAGCAGCCCUGCAGCAGGAAGAAUCAUAUUUGCUCUUCAGGUUUGUGAGAAGACAAAUGUAUUGAAAUGUACUCCGAAACUUCAAGGGAAAAAGAUAAUCUUUAGGCUAUGUUAUUCAUAUCAACCCCUCUUCUUGUUGCUGAUAUCAAUCUCUCAGCAAAAGUGAGGAGCAGGGAGCCCAGAGGCAGACCUAGGCAGGCUCUCGCCCUCUGCUCUGACAAAAAGGAGAUUUGUCCUGGGUGCCCCGGAGGACGCUGGCACCACACGAGACCCAAACCCCAUCCAUUAUCAGAGAAUGUCCCAACAUGUUUACAGCAGCGGGCACAACUCCCAUUGACGUCAGCAGGGCUCAUGCUCCAGAUGGGAGGGCAGGAACCUGCCCCACACCUUCCUAAAUGCGGGGGAGAGAGGGGAGGAAAAAGAAGAGAAAGAAAAAGAAGUCACUAGUAUUGGAGAGAGCACGUUGCUCUUGAAAAUGUCUUGGAGCAAAGUGGUUCAGCAAAAGCAGUACAAACAGUGACUAUAAAUAUUUUCCAUUCUGCUUGGCUCUUCAAACAGUGCCCUGCCGUGAUUUCAGAUGGGCUCAAAAAUAAAUAAAUUACAGCA